rnacentral:sRNA from 1 species
UCUCCGAGGAUGUGGUCCUCAAGCUCUUCCUGUCCUUCAGCGGCUCGGAUGUGCAGAACAAGUUAAAGGAGUCAGCACAGUGCGUCGGGGACGAAUUCAUGAACUGUAAGCUGGCUACCAGGGCCAAGGACUUCCUCCCAGCUGACAUCCAGGCUCAGUUUGCCAUCAGCCGGGAGCUGAUCCGGAACAUCUACAACAGCUUUCACAAGCUUCGCGACAGGGCCGAGCGGAUCGCGUCGCGGGCCAUCGACAACGCGGCAGAUCUUCUCAUAUUCGGGAAGGAGCUAAGUGCAAUAGGGUCUGACACGACCCCGCUGCCCUCCUGGGCCGCUCUGAACAGCAGCACGUGGGGGUCCCUGAAGCAGGCUCUGAAAGGCCUGUCUGUGGAAUUCGCGCUGCUCGCCGACAAGGCCGCACAACAGGGUAAGCAGGAAGAGAACGACGUGGUGGAGAAGCUGAACCUCUUCUUGGAUCUGCUGCAGUCCUAUAAGGUGAGUCUUGGCUGCUCCUUGGUUGGGGGCAGAACUUUCAGGAAUGAUCUUAGGAUCCUUCUAGGGUCU